rfam:Legionella tucsonensis strain ATCC 49180 Ltuc_ctg001, whole genome shotgun sequence.
CAUAGACAGUACACAUUGUUCAGCCAACAUCAUUACUUUGGGAGCCAGAUUGAGAGUGAGGUGUGCAAGCUUAGCAUGUACUAAGAAGCCUAAAACACUCCAGAGGAGUCCACCUUGGUAAACAGGACUGUACUCAAUCUUACUGUCUAUCC